rnacentral:rRNA from 1 species
AACGAACGCUGGCGGCAUGCCUAACACAUGCAAGUCGAACGAGACCUUCGGGUCUAGUGGCGCACGGGUGCGUAACGCGUGGGAAUCUGCCCUUGGGUUCGGAAUAACAGUUGGAAACGACUGCUAAUACCGGAUGAUGACGUAAGUCCAAAGAUUUAUCGCCCAAGGAUGAGCCCGCGUAGGAUUAGCUAGUUGGUGAGGUAAAGGCUCACCAAGGCGACGAUCCUUAGCUGGUCUGAGAGGAUGAUCAGCCACACUGGGACUGAGACACGGCCCAGACUCCUACGGGAGGCAGCAGUGGGGAAUAUUGGACAAUGGGCGAAAGCCUGAUCCAGCAAUGCCGCGUGAGUGAUGAAGGCCUUAGGGUUGUAAAGCUCUUUUACCCGGGAUGAUAAAGACAGUACCGGGAGAAUAAGCGCCGGCUAACUCCGUG